CUCUUAGAGACUUACCCAGAAACACUCCCAGCUUUAAUUGCUGCCAAAGGUGCUUCUACAAAAGUAUGGACUCAGGGGUAUGAAUCCUCAAUAAAUGAGCAAACAUUAAAAAAAACUUUUUUUUAUGGGGUAUGUGUAGAUGGGUCAUUUUAUUCAGGCUGUAACACAACACAAUGUGGAAUAAGUCCAAGGGUGUGAAUACUUUCUGAAGGCUCUCUAUAUAGUGUUUAGGCUAGUGUAUUAUGUCACAUCGGGGCUAUCUAGGCAAACGGCUUUGUGAGUGUUCACUCUUGAGAGUUUUCCUCACGUCUGCCUCGGAGAGCGAAAUCACAUGGUCGUCCAGAGCAACGAGAGUCUUCCAGGUUAGUUCAGUGUUGUCCGCCUCGAAGCAUAACAUGUAUUAUGCUUGUCUGGGAGCGCAGCCUCGAUGGACAUCACACGGCUGGAUUUUCCUCUGCAGUCCGUAACAGCCGGUAAUCCUUGCCACAUGCGCCACACGUCUUCGUUGUCAUACUGUGAUUCCAGUUUGAGUCUAUAUUUUAUUUGAUCUUUUGGUGUCCCUAAUGGAUUUUCGGAGCUCGCGCCUGCUUGCCUCGUACACAUCAAGGUCACCGGUGAUGAAUGCUGCAGUACGGGCCGUCAGCGCGGAUCUCACUGUUAAUCCAGGGUUUUUAAUUGGGGUAUGUCCGGAUUGUUAUUGUAAAUUCAACAUCAUCAACACAUUUCCUGAUGAAACCUGUGACUGAUGAUGUCUAAUCCAUUGAUGCUAAAGGAUGAGUCCUGGGUGGAUGAGUCUUUGAACAUAUUCCAAUCAAUACCAUCAAAGCAAUCCUGCAGCAUUGAGUCCACCUCCUCCAGUCAGCGCCUCACUAUUCUCUCUGAUGCUUGGUCCUUUUGAGUAGCUGUUUGUAGGCGUGGAGUAGGAACAGAGAUGUGUGAUCUGAUUGGCCGAAGUGGGGGUGGAGGAUUGUUGCGGAUGUUUAUGUAAACAUGGUCUAGUACACGUAGCUCUCGUGUGGGACAGGAGACAUGCUUAUGAUAUUUUGGAAGGACUCGUUUUAGGUUUGCCUAGAUUAAAUAUCCUGCGAUGAUAAAGACUGCUUCUGGGUGAGAGGAUUCUUGCUGGCUAAUGGUCUCAUACAGUCCGCUGAGUACCACCGUGGUGUUGGCUUGUGGCGGUAUGUAAACAUUGGUGUUGAUAACAGACGUGAAUUCCCGCGGCAGAUAGUAGGGCCGGCAUUUUAACAUCCGAAACUCCAGUUUGCGUGAGCAGGAGCUUGGGAUGACUUCUACAUCAUUACACCAAGAAGAGAAAGCUCCUCCCCCUUACUCUUGCCAUAGGCCGCUGUUCGAUCCAUGAGAAAAAUGGAGAACCCAUCUUUCGGUGUAGUUUCCGUCAGCCAUGUUAACUUGAAGACAAAAACACAGCAUUCCUUGAUGUCUCGUUGUGAUAUUAGCCGCACUCUGAGUUCGUCUACUUUAUUAUCCCGUGAUCGGACAUUAGCCAGAAUAAUACCAGGAAGAGAAGGAUGUUUUGCCUGACAUUUCAGCCUCGCUCAGAAGCCUGCUUUUCUUUCUCUUCUUAGCUGGCGCUUGCUUCGGUCGUCUCGAUCGCGUGAUCACAUAACAGUUAAACCCUUUGUACAGGGCACUUGCUUUGGUCGCCUCGAUCGCGUGAUCACAUAACAGUUAAACCCUUUGUACAGGGCACUUGCUUUGGUCGCCUCGAUCGUGUGAUCACAUAACAGUUAAACCCUUUGUACAGGGCACUUGCUUCGGUCGCCUCGAUCGCGUGAUCACAUAGCAGUUAAGCCCUUUGUACAGGGCACUUGCUUCGGUCGCCUCGAUCGUGUGAUCCAGAUGGCCAGAAGAGUUUGGUGGUUGUAGGAAAUUUGAACAAAAGCGUCUUAACGUAGAAAUACACAUGAAAUAGCCAAGUGGAGCGGGAGCCGGCAUCAUACGUUUAAAUAUGGAGGAAUCCAAUUGGUUGUCUUUCAUUCAGAUAUAAAAGGUUGCGUAUUGGUUUCAAGUGGAUGGUGAGGGCGUUUUCUGGGUACCUCUCCACUGACCGGCUUCUACUGCAGUGGGACCGAAUCCUGGGUUAUGAUUCACUGGAGAUAGCUGCAGACUCCCACGGCCUUUCCUGCUUAUCGCCGCCCUCCCCGGGGGCCACUGGCUUCCCUUUUGGUUUCCCUUCGUCCCACCACUGGACAAGACACCACCUUUGGCUCCUUGCAACAGCACCCCUUUGGUUGAAACGAUGCACUGCAGGAGCGAUGUGCCAUGAUGACUGUUAUUCUAUCCGUCAUCACUCUGGCUCUUGCCGUUGUUGAAAGAUUACAUGUAGAUGGCUCUAUCAGGUUGCCUGUCUCACUCACUGUGGUACUCUCAACAUAAAAUGUGCAAGUAUGGUCCAGUUGAUAGUAAUAAUACAGAUAUGGGAAUAGUGGGCCAAAUAUAUUCAUUUCAAUGUCAAACAAGCAGAGGGGCGGACUGGGACUAGAAAUCGGCCCUGGAAUUUCUAUCACGUCGGUCCAUUUUUUUCCUUGAGGCCCCCAUAAUUAGCUAGAUUAUUUUGCCUGCCUAAACAAAACAAGUUAGACUGGCCCACUGGGCUAACGAUAAAUCUGCCCAUCUGGCAUUUGCCCAAAAUGCCAGAUGGCCAGUAAGCCCCUGAAGAAGCAUCUAAGAAAGCAUAUUGGCAUACAUUUUAAUUUGUUUUAAGCUAUAACAUGAAAAUGUAGCCUAUAAUUUGCCACUUUUCGAAUUUACAGAAGCCUAUAUGCAUAUGAGUUUGAAUUUACAGAAACCUAUAACCUGCUAUAUGAGCAGCUAACCGAUCGCUGCAGCUGCACAUUGUCCAUCUGUAAACAGCCCACCCAAUUUACCUACCUCAUCCCUUUACUGUUUUUAUUUAUUUACUUUUCUGCUCUUUUGCACAACAGUAUCUCUACUUGCACAUGAUCAUCUGAUGAUUUAUCACUCCAGUGUUAAUCUGCUAAAUUGUAAUUAUUCGCUCCUAUGGCCUAUUUAUAUGCCUACCUCCUCAUACCUUUUGCACACAAUGUAUAUAGACUCAUUUUUUCCCCCCUACUGUGUUAUUGACUUGCUAAUUGUUUACUCCAUGUCUGUUCACACUGCUAUGCUUUAUCUUGGCCAGGUCGCAGUUGUAAAUGAGAACUUGUUCUCAACUAGCCUACCUGGUUA